rnacentral:rRNA from 1 species
CACACUGGAACUGAGACACGGUCCAGACUCCUACGGGAGGCAGCAGUGAGGAAUNUUGCGCAAUGGGCGAAAGCCUGACGCAGCGACGCCGCGUGAAUGAUGAAGUCCUUCGGGAUGUAAAGUUCUGUCAGCAGGGAAGAUAAUGACGGUACCUGCAGAGGAAGGUCCGGCAAACUAUGUGCCAGCAGCCGCGGUAAUACAUAGGGACCAAGCGUUGUCCGGAUUUACUGCGCGUAAAGAGCUCGUAGGCGGUGACUUAAGUCAGAAUUAAAAGGCAGAGGCUCAACCUCUGUUCGGUUCUGAAACUGGGUUGCUUGAGAAUGGGAGAGGUAAGCGGAAUUAGCAGUGUAGCGGUGAAAUGCGUAGAUAUUGCUAAGAACACCCGUGGCGAAGGCGGCUUACUGGCCCAAUUCUGACGCUGAGGAGCGAAAGCGUGGGUAGCAAACAGGAUUAGAUACCCUGGUAGUCCACGCUGUAAACGAUGUACAUUAGGCAUAGGAGGUAUCGACCCCUUCUGUGCCGCAGCUAACGCGUUAAAUGUACCGCCUGGGGAGUACGAUCGCAAGAUUAAAACUCAAAGGAAUUGACGGGGGCCCGCACAAGCAGUGGAUCAUGUGGUUUAAUUCGACGAUACGCGAAGAACCUUACCAAAACUUGACAUCUAGAGAAGUUCCUAGAAGUAGGAAUGUGCCCGCAAGGGAACUCUAAGACAGGUGGUGCAUGGUUGUCGUCAGCUCGUGUCGUGAGAUGUUGGGUUAAGUCCCGCAACGAGCGCAACCCUCAUCCUGUGUUGCUACAUUUAGUUGAGCACUCUCAGGAGACCGCCCGUGGUAAACGGGAGGAAGGUGGGGACGACGUCAAAUCAUCAUGCCCCUUAUGUUUUGGGCUACACACAUGAUACAAUGGCCGAUACAAAGGGUUGCCAAGCCGCAAGGUGGAGCUAAUCUCAAAAAGUCGGUCCCAGUUCAGAUUGUAGGCUGCAACUCGCCUGCAUGAAGCUGGAAUUGCUAGUAAACGCGGAUCAGCACGCUGCGUUGAAUACGUUCCCGGGCCUUGUACACACCGCCCGUCACACCAUGAAAGCCGGAAAUAUCCGAAGUCAG